UACGUAGGGGGCAAGCGUUGUCCGGAAUCAUUGGGCGUAAAGCGCGUGUAGGCGGCUCGGUAAGUCCGCUCUGAAAGUCCAGGGCUCAACCCUGGGAUGCGGGUGGAUACUGCCGGGCUCGAGUCCGGAAGAGGCGAAUGGAAUUCCCGGUGUAGCGGUGAAAUGCGCAGAUAUCGGGAAGAACACCCGUGGCGAAGGCGGUUCUCUGGGACGGUACUGACGCUGAGACGCGAAAGCGUGGGGAGCGAACAGG
rnacentral:rRNA from 1 species